CCUACGGGUGGCUGCAGUGGGGAAUAUUGGACAAUGGGGGCAACCCUGAUCCAGCCAUGCCGCGUGUGUGAAGAAGGCCCUCGGGUUGUAAAGCACUUUCAGUGAGGAAGAACGCCUGGUGGUUAAUACCCAUCAGGUAAGACAUCACUCACAGAAGAAGCACCGGCUAACUCCGUGCCAGCAGCCGCGGUAAUACGGAGGGUGCGAGCGUUAAUCGGAAUUACUGGGCGUAAAGCGCGCGUAGGUGGCUUGAUAAGCCGGUUGUGAAAGCCCCGGGCUCAACCUGGGAACGGCAUCCGGAUCUGUCAAGCUAGAGUGCAGGAGAGGAAGGUAGAAUUCCCGGUGUAGCGGUGAAAUGCGUAGAGAUCGGGAGGAAUACCAGUGGCGAAGGCGGCCUUCUGGACUGACACUGACACUGAGGUGCGAAAACGUGGGUAGCAAACAGGAUUAGAUACCCUAGUAGUC
rnacentral:rRNA from 1 species